rnacentral:rRNA from 1 species
ACGUUAAGGGCGUCGAGCGGCGGACGGGUGAGUAAUGCCUAGGAAAUUGCCCUGAUGUGGGGGAUAACCAUUGGAAACGAUGGCUAAUACCGCAUGAUGCCUACGGGCCAAAGAGGGGGACCUUCGGGCCUCUCGCGUCAGGAUAUGCCUAGGUGGGAUUAGCUAGUUGGUGAGGUAAUGGCUCACCAAGGCGACGAUCCCUAGCUGGUCUGAGAGGAUGAUCAGCCACACUGGAACUGAGACACGGUCCAGACUCCUACGGGAGGCAGCAGUGGGGAAUAUUGCACAAUGGGCGCAAGCCUGAUGCAGCCAUGCCGCGUGUGUGAAGAAGGCCUUCGGGUUGUAAAGCACUUUCAGUCGUGAGGAAGGUGGUAGUGUUAAUAGCACUAUCAUUUGACGUUAGCGACAGAAGAAGCACCGGCUAACUCCGUGCCAGCAGCCGCGGUAAUACGGAGGGUGCGAGCGUUAAUCGGAAUUACUGGGCGUAAAGCGCAUGCAGGUGGUUUGUUAAGUCAGAUGUGAAAGCCCGGGGCUCAACCUCGGAAUAGCAUUUGAAACUGGCAGACUAGAGUACUGUAGAGGGGGGUAGAAUUUCAGGUGUAGCGGUGAAAUGCGUAGAGAUCUGAAGGAAUACCGGUGGCGAAGGCGGCCCCCUGGACAGAUACUGACACUCAGAUGCGAAAGCGUGGGGAGCAAACAGGAUUAGAUACCCUGGUAGUCCACGCCGUAAACGAUGUCUACUUGGAGGUUGUGGCCUUGAGCCGUGGCUUUCGGAGCUAACGCGUUAAGUAGACCGCCUGGGGAGUACGGUCGCAAGAUUAAAACUCAAAUGAAUUGACGGGGGCCCGCACAAGCGGUGGAGCAUGUGGUUUAAUUCGAUGCAACGCGAAGAACCUUACCUACUCUUGACAUCCAGAGAACUUUYCAGAGAUGRAUUGGUGCCUUCGGGAACUCUGAGACAGGUGCUGCAUGGCUGUCGUCAGCUCGUGUUGUGAAAUGUUGGGUUAAGUCCCGCAACGAGCGCAACCCUUAUCCUUGUUUGCCAGCGAGUAAUGUCGGGAACUCCAGGGAGACUGCCGGUGAUAAACCGGAGGAAGGUGGGGACGACGUCAAGUCAUCAUGGCCCUUACGAGUAGGGCUACACACGUGCUACAAUGGCGCAUACAGAGGGCAGCAAGCUAGCGAUAGUGAGCGAAUCCCAAAAAGUGCGUCGUAGUCCGGAUUGGAGUCUGCAACUCGACUCCAUGAAGUCGGAAUCGCUAGUAAUCGUGGAUCAGAAUGCCACGGUGAAUACGUUCCCGGGCCUUGUACACACCGCCCGUCACACCAUGGGAGUGGGCUGCAAAAGAAGUAGGUAGU